AUCAUAAGAAACUACCUCGCUAUUUUCUGCCACCUUAAAAGUUAGUGUCUUGCGUAAGAGUUUUUAUUUUUCCAUUUUAGGAAAUGCUAAACUUUUUCCUCACAUAGAAAUGGUCAUUUCAUUUUAAUUAUGCUGGAUUUCUGCCAGGGAAAAGUAAAACUAACCUGGGAAUUUGCAUGUGCCAUGCAAAAAGAAUUGAUUCCAUGGGUUAGACUGGUUAGAACGAUAUGUGAAAAUAGACUGAGGGGAAAAACAGCAAUGUUUAGCAAGAGUGUUUGGUUACAUGUGGAGAGGUGGAAUGGUGAACCUCUCCAAGCAGAGGUGGCCUUUGGGAUGAGCCACAGCUUAAAAACCGUGAGAUCUCAAACACAUCUCUGUGUCACCCUGAGUUUCCAUUUUUUCAACUCUAAAUUGAGCAUCUUUCCCCUGCUAGGAUAAUGUAAGAAUCAGAGACAACUUCUGGAAAGCAUCUAGUUGGACACUUGGCACCUAAGCAGGCACUUAAAAGAGAGAAGCUGUUAGGUUCUGGCCAGGUUUGAAGGCAGGAACAUGGGCCAUGUUUUAGAUAACAAAUGGAAAGACUUUACUAUGAAUUUCUACAUAGAACUAACCCCAAACAUGCUGUAGAAGUUUAGGAUUUAGUCAACAGGCAUUACUGUACUGGGGGUGCCAUUAAAGGGCUCUCCAGCCUCUGCCCAAGGUAGUGGAAACCCUGUCUUCUCUCCUCUAUCAGGGUUGGUGUUUGCCUUGACUGCUGAGUUUAUUGGAUCCUACUUCCUGUCCCACCCUGACGGAGCAUGAACUGUGAAUGUUUAGAUUCUGUCUUCCUCUGAGGGAGACCAGAAGGGCUCCUAAUUUUGGUAAAACAGUAAAUUUAGUCAUUAUAGCCAUGUGCCUGGCAUCAUUUAAGAACCUCCUUGUCAGCACCCCUUAAUUUUUCCAAUUUGUUAGCCUGGAAAACACCCCUAUUAGUAUCAAACUUAAGUCUUAAUGAGGGGAAAUAAGAAUUUACCCCUAUCGUUCCCAAAAUGAAGACAGAGAUCUGUAUCUUUUUAAACAUAAUGGGAGGUAUCUGUGUUAUUGUUUAAAAUCAAUUAUCCUUUAUUCCAUGCUUUUUUUUUCUAUUGUUUAUUUUAUCUGUCCUGCUUUCCCAGAGGGGCAGAAUUAAGGCCCCUAUUUGGUUUUUAUUAUUGUAAUCAGUUAAUAGCUGUUCUAUAAUGCCUUACUUAUUGUGUUAAUUUUCUGUAGUUAUAUCCAGAGGCCGCUUACUGGAAGAUCACAUUAAAAAAAAAAAAAAAUAGAAGAUCUAACUCCUUCUUUAAUGGGUCCAGUUUCCAUCUAUAGUUUCAGCUGAAAUUAUCGAACACGAUUGAAUUACAAGAUCAUUGAAAAAAUAUAUAAACUGUAGCUACUAUUUUAAGUAUAUCUGUGGCGAGUGCAAACAUUACAUUAGUAUGAGGACAGUCCAAACAUUCGUCAUAGUAUCUCUGUUGACCACAGCUUAUGAUACCACUUCCUCGGAUCUGCCCCGAGUCUGUCAGAGGUAUGAGUGUGUGCUAUUGCCGGGCACACUGCCAAUCAUUGUAGUUCCAUCGCAUAGGUGCCUAAACUCUGGGUCCCAAGGACCAUCGUCCUAUUGCUGUUGGAGAUUUUAAUGUGAAUGUCUUAUGUAGAUGUUGGCAUUUAAAGAACUAAUUCUCAAGUUAGAAUGGAGCUUCAAAGCAGACCAAAGGGAGAAACAAACUUACCUGAAAGAUGACAAAGGGCAUUAGUAUAAUAAAUGUGACAGAAUGGGCCCCAUGAUAGAUGCAUUCUGAAUUAGAUGAAUGUACUCAAGUGACAAGAGCUUCACUGGGGGGUCAGCACUGUGGGUUCUAGGCCUACCUCUAACAUGAACUCACUCUUAAGACCUCUGGGGGCCUCAGUGUUCUCUUUUGUAAAAUGAGGAGGUGUUGAGAUGAAAGUUCUGUUUCCUCUCCACAUUCACACUCUGUGUGAUGUUCAGCCAGGAGUGAUUCUGUUAAGCAGUUCAGCGAGGAAGAGCCAUUAGCAGGUCAGGAUUGGAUCAGAAUUAAAAUGCUUCUGGUUCAUUGUUGAGUCUCUGAAGAUGGGCAUGGCACUUGGCAUAAAACAAGGGCCCAUUCGUCCCUUUGUAAUAAGUUAGUGUUGAUUGUGAAGCCUAACUAAAACUCCAGUUUGAGAACUGUUAUUCCUAUGAUGGCUGAGAGAGGAGGUGGAGAGAGGGCUAGACCACGAAGUCACAGGAAAUGGCUGCAUGACCCUGGGCAAGUCACUUCAUUUCUCCCAGUCUUUUCUCCUUUACUUGUCACAUAAAGAGUUUGGAGGAGAAUUGUCAAAGUAGCUUCUUCUUCUUUUUUUUUUUUUUUUGAGGUGGAGUCUCACUCUGUCACCCAGGCUGGAGUGCAGUGGUGCCAUCUCGGCUCACUGCAACCCCUGCCUCCCGGGUUCAAGUCUCAGCCUCCCGAGUAGCUGGGAUUACAGGGACCUGCCACCACAACCAGCUAAUUUUUGUAUUUUUAGUAGAGAGGGGGUUUCACCAUCUUGGCCAGGCUGGUCUUGAACUCCUGACCUCAUGAUCCACCCACCUUGGCCUCCUAAGGUGCUGGGAUUACAAGCGUGAGCCAUUGCGCUCAGCCCCAAAGUAGCUUCUAAUUAAGAAAGUCAAUGACCUUAUGAGAAUGGUCAACCCUGUAAAGCAAAUAAAAAGGUUCCGAUGCUUUACAAUAUCCAGUGUCCAGAGCAGGUAGAGUACAUUAUCUGCGAUUUAAUGCUUGCUGGGAAGAACUUUGCGGGGAUGGGCUGAGAAGAAGAGGAAGGAAAGGGGAACUGUACCCUCAAGUUUGACUGGGACUUUCAUGCAACGAAGGAAAUGAGGUCUCCUGCAAUUGCCUCUUAUUAAGGUAGAGAAUGUAUCAAAUGCUGUGUUUAAAUCAAUUCAAUGCCGAGUUCUUAGCACAGUGCACCACCUGUUUUGGCUGUUUCCAUAUCCUGGCCAUAGUGGUGAUGUGUGAGAGCUUUUCCUUUGGGCAAUGCCAUCAGAGAAGGAAAUGAAUAGCAACAACAUAUUG
rnacentral:lncRNA from 10 species